ensembl:snRNA U4 U4 spliceosomal RNA
AGCUUUUUGCAGUAGUAGUAUCAUAGGCAAUAAGGUUUGUCAGGUAGGAUUAUUGCUAAUUGAAAACUAUUCCCAGUGUCUCACCAUGAUGACUUGAAAAAAUUCUUUAGUAUUUUUAUAAAUUCAAACUGGUGA